rnacentral:rRNA from 1 species
AGGACGAACGCUGGCGGCGUGCUUAACACAUGCAAGUCGAGCGAGGCCCGUCCUUCGGGACGGUGCCCUAGCGGCGAACGGGUGAGUAACACGUGGGCAACCUGCCCCUAGCACUGGGAUAACUCCGGGAAACCGGGGCUAAUACCGGAUAUGACCUUUGAGGGCAUCCUCGAAGGUGUAAAGGAUUCUGGCUAGGGAUGGGCCCGCGGCCUAUCAGCUUGUUGGUGGGGUAACGGCCUACCAAGGCGACGACGGGUAGCCGGCCUGAGAGGGCGACCGGCCACACUGGGACUGAGACACGGCCCAGACUCCUACGGGAGGCAGCAGUGGGAAUAUUGCACAAUGGGCGAAAGCCUGAUGCAGCGACGCCGCGUGAGGGAUGACGGCCUUCGGGUUGUAAACCUCUUUCAGCAGGGACGAAGCGAAAGUGACGGUACCUGCAGAAGAAGCACCGGCCAACUACGUGCCAGCAGCCGC